UUCACAGUAUACCCCGUGAAAGUGCUACCAGUCAGGAUGUCUCUGAACCCCUGGUUGGGCCCCUUAAUCACUCACCCUGAACUCUAGCCAUACGGAGCAUGGAAAGGAGGCAGAACUGUCCAGAGGUGGAGUUAGGGUAUGGCUAUACUCAUUUUUUCAUGGGUAUGAUGCAGCCUUGAAGUAGGCUAAGGGCACCACAGGGCCUGAGAGGGAGCACUAGAGUCCAGCAGCCCACUCCAGGCCUUUGACAGAGUUAGGGAUCUCUCUCCUCAUUUCACAAAUACCUAUCUCAAGUCCCUCUGUCCCCUCCUUCCCCUCAGCCCUGUAUGUCUCACAAGAGCCAUGCUUUUGGAGAAUAUGCCCUCAAACUUAGGCCUUUCCUACCCUCUCCUAGGAUGAAGGCUGGGGAAGGCAUAUUCUAGGAUUGAGACUGGAAGGAAAUAUUGGAUGAGGAAGAUUUUCAAGACCAAUGCCUGGUAUCCUGGUUCGGUUCUCCCUUCCAUAUUGAAUUCCCAUUCCCCACAUGCCUCACUCCUACCCUCCUCCUACCCACAUUGUGGUCGCUAAGAAUGAGAACAAUUCAAG
rnacentral:lncRNA from 1 species